CCUACGGGGGGCAGCAGUGGGGAAUAUUGGGCAAUGGGCGAAAGCCUGAUCCAGCAACGCCGCGUGAAGGAAGAAGGCUUUCGGGUUGUAAAGUUCUUUUGACAGGGAAGAGCAGAAGACGGUACCUGUCGUAUAAGCUACGGCUAACUACGUGCCAGCAGCCGCGGUAACUCUGAGGGGGCAAGCGUUGUCCGGAUUUGCUGGGGGGAGUGGGCGGGUAGUAGGGCUGGUAAGUCAGAUGUGAAAUCCGGGGGCUCAACCCCCGAACUGCAUUUGAUACUGGUGGUCUUGAGUAUCGGAGAGGCAGGCGGAAUUCCAGGUGUAGCGGUGAAAUGCGUAGAUAUUAGGAGGAACACCAGUGGCGAAGGCGGCCUGCUGGACGACAACUGACGGUGAGGCGCGAAAGCGUGGGGAGCAAACAGGAUUAGAUACCCGUGUAGUC
rnacentral:rRNA from 1 species